CCUACGGGGUGCAGCAGUGAGGAAUAUUGGUCAAUGGGCGAGAGCCUGAACCAGCCAAAUCGCGUGAAGGAUGAAGGAUCUAUGGUUUGUAAACUUCUAUUAUAUGGGAAUAAAGUGAGGAACGUGUUCCUUUUUGUAUGUACCAUAUGAAUAAGCAUCGGCUAACUCCGUGCCAGCAGCCGCGGUAAUACGGAGGAGGCGAGCGUUAUCCGGAUUUAUUGGGUUUAAAGGGUGCGUAGGUGGUUAAUUAAGUCAGCGGUGAAAGUUUGUGGCUCAACCAUAAAAUUGCAGUUGAAACUGGCAGUCUUGAGUACAGUAGCGGUGGGCGGAAUUCGUGGUGUAGCGGUGAUAUGCAUAGAUAGCACGCAGAACUCCGAUUGCGAAGGCAGCAUACCGGCGCCCGACUGACGCUGAGGCACGAAAGCGUGGGUAUCGAACAGGAUUAGAUACCCGAGUAGUC
rnacentral:rRNA from 1 species